UGCUACGUUUGUAAGACAAUUCAUGGCUAAAUUCUGGACCAAACUGAAGAUAUUUGACAGUGAAAUAAACUCGAAACAUACAUGAGCUGUUUAAAUCAGUGUUGUCAAAAAGUCUCCUGUCUUGUACGUCAAACAUAUUUUGUGUCUAAAAUGUUUACGUGACUGUAAGUGGGUACAACGGUCCACGUUUUCGUAUGGCCCCCGUAUGUUCAGGGUAAAUAACAACGCUACAGCCGUUAGGAAGCUACUGCCUCUCAAAAUCAAUUUUGACGCUAUAUUUUUGGGAGGGCUUCCAGUCUCUCAUUGUAGAAUUUAUCAAUUAAUACACCACCCACCUCACGUAGUUCGAUCGAGUAAAAAGGCAACAUGAUUAUCUUUUUAAUUAUCGUGUUUGAAAAAAUACUUCUCUUAAAAGCUCUAUUUGUUUAAACUUUUUGUUUUUCUUUAUUUCCAUAAAAUUGCCCUACAAUGCUUAUCAAUGUUUACCCAAAGAUAACAACAAAAGGCGCAAAUGAGUGUGAAUCAACAAUGUUAAACAUCGAAAGAACGAUAACAAAUUACUCAAUUCGAAAACGGAGACGCAAAAGAGAUUGCUAACCAGUGAGUGCAAAAAAUACACACGGUUCUUCUUCGAAAUUGUUGCAGUUCUUCAAUAUCUACUUGUCAGUGCACACGGCGAACAAAAUCAGAAGAAUUGAAAAAUAAUUUUUAUUUUUCACAAUUUUUUUUUUGACAGAAUGCAAGUGCACACGACACCUCCAGCUCAAAUGUGGAAAAUUCAUACCCAACCCGGUUAACUAUAUAAGAGGACCAACAUUGGAGUUGUGGAUAUCAAUCAAAGUUUGAAAAUAUCAAACAAAAGUUAAUUUUUUGAAAAAAGUAAAAUUACAUCUAAAAGCAAAAUGCCUUGCAAAGGAUGCGGUAAUGAUUGCAAAUGCAAUGCCCAAAAGUGUGGCGACAGUUGUCCCUGUGACCAGCACUGCCAUUGCCCCUGUAAAACUGGCUCCAAGGAUGAAUGCUGCAAAAAGUAAAACACCAUUGAAUGAAUCAAAGAUGGACGUGCAUUAAAUGACCUGUGAUUUUUGAGAAUUGUAUUCUAUAUAACAUAAAAAAUAUAUUUUUAAAAACAAAAAUAAAAAAAUAUACAAUAA